CCUACGGGAGGCAGCAGUGAGGAAUAUUGGACAAUGGGCGCAAGCCUGAUCCAGCCAUGCCGCGUGCAGGAAGAAGCAUCUAUGGUGUGUAAACUGCUUUUGUACAGGAAGAAACACUCCCUCGUGAGGGAGCUUGACGGUACUGUAAGAAUAAGGACCGGCUAACUCCGUGCCAGCAGCCGCGGUAAUACGGAGGGUCCGAGCGUUAUCCGGAAUCAUUGGGUUUAAAGGGUCCGUAGGCGGUUUAAUAAGUCAGUGGUGAAAUCUGGUCGCUCAACGAUCAAACGGCCAUUGAUACUGUUAGACUUGAAUUAUAAGGAAGUAACUAGAAUAUGUAGUGUAGCGGUGAAAUGCUUAGAUAUUACAUGGAAUACCAAUUGCGAAGGCAGGUUACUACUUAUGGAUUGACGCUGAUGGACGAAAGCGUGGGGAGCGAACAGGAUUAGAUACCCUGGUAGUCCACGCCGUAAACGAUGGAUACUAGCUGUUCGGAGCAAUCUGAGUGGCUAAGCGAAAGUGAUAAGUAUCCCACCUGGGGAGUACGUUCGCAAGAAUGAAACUCAAAUGAAAUUGACCGGNUGAGACGAGCGAGGACGACGACGAGGGAGGAGG
rnacentral:rRNA from 1 species